rnacentral:rRNA from 1 species
AUAAAUUAAUAAAAUUUUAUAUUUAAAAAAAAACUAAUUUUUAUAAAUAUUUAAAAAUUAUUUUUAAAUAUUUAUAAUAUUAUAUAUAUAUAUAUAUAUAUUUGUAUUAUUAAAAAUUAUUAUUUUAAUAUAUAACAUUAAAAAUUAAUGAAAUUUAAAUUUAAUAAUAAUAAAAUUAUUAAUAAAAAUUGUGCCAGCAAUUGCGGUUAAACAUUUAAUAAAAUAAAUAUUUUUAUAAGUAAUUAUUUUAUAUUUUAAUUAUGAAAUUUAUAUAUAAUUAAGUAAAAUUUUUAUUGUAAUUAAGUAAAUAUUUAAAUAAUUUAAUAAAAAUUAUAAUAAACUAGGAUUAGAUACCCUAUUAUAAAUUUAAUUAAAAAAUUAUAAAAGAUUAAUAAAUAUAAAAUUAAUAAUAAUGGCUGUAUUUUAAUUUGUAUAGAGGAAUUUGUAGUUUAAUUUGAUAAUCCACGAUUAAUUUUACUUUAUUUAUUUAAUUUAUAUAUCGUUGUUAUAAAAAAUUAAUUUAAUUUAAAAUUUUAAGUUAUUUAAUAGAAUUUUAUUUCAAAUCAUGAUGUAAUUUAUAAUAAAGAAUUAUAUGAAUUAUAAUAAUUUAUUUAUGAGAAUAUAAUUUAAUUUUAUAUUUAAAUAAGAUUUAUAAGUAAUUAAAAAAAUAUUUUUUUAAUGAUUUAAUUUUAAGAUAAGUACAUAUUGCCCGUCACUUUCAUUUAUGAAAUAAGUCGUAACAAAGUAAAAAUAUUGGAAAAUAUUUUUAGAA